AGCGAACGUUAGCGGCGGGCUUAACACAUGCAAGUCGAGCGAGAAAGUGGCUUCGGCCAUCAGUAAAGCGGCGGACGGGUGAGUAACACGUAGGUAAUCUUCCCUUGAGCGGGGGACAACGAGCCGAAAGGCUCGCUAAUACCGCAUAAGUUCCCAGAGUCCUCGGACUUUGGGAGGAAAGCUAGGUCGCAAGAUCCGGCACUCGAGGAGGAUCCUGCGUCGCAUCAGCUAGUUGGGGGGUAAUGGCCUACCAAGGCGAAGACGCGUAGCUGGUCUGAGAGGAUGAUCAGCCACACUGGGACUGAGACACGGCCCAGACUCCUACGGGAGGCAGCAGUGGGGAAUAUUGGACAAUGGGCGCAAGCCUGAUCCAGCCACGCCGCGUGAGUGAUGAAGGCC
rnacentral:rRNA from 1 species